GCUAAGAGGAUACGAGUUCGGACGUAAUGUUUACUCCUCGAUACUAUUACGUAGCUUACACGACUUGAUAGAAAAAACUACGCAAAAAGUUUUGCCAGAGGAACACAAAUCGCGAAACAGAAGGUUGUUUUGAAAGAAAGUCGAAGCUCGGUGUGUCGAUGCUGAUUGUGGCAGAUACAGCGACCCGAAAAGUUGAUCGCGCGUACUCGGAUUUUAAACGAAGUUAUCCCUACAACGAGACAAGCUAACAAGGAUAGAAAGACUGGAAUUAUUGAUCGUAUCGUUUAUCGCACCUUUCGCGUCAAGCUGAGCUAAAAAUGAGAAAUCUAAACGGCCCCGAAAACGAAGGGAACCUGAUACGCGGCAGACUAAAUCACCGUCACUUUUCCAACAGCACCUGUUGAUUUAUACCGGAAAGGGAAGGAGCACCGACGAUCAAUCUGCAGGAACUCUGCCCUUGAUAAGGAUGUUACCUAGCAGUAAGGCUGCUAGAGGUUGUUCGUAGAAAGUCUCGCGAAAACAAGUUGAUUCGGUGCAUAAAUCGACAGGUUGAACUGGAAGGGGUAAAGCACAGGUAAAGUGUACGAUGAUGCAACAGAAGUUUGAAUGGUAAAUGAUGCAAGAGCGAGAAGAAUGAGUAUGAGAAGAACCUGAAAACGCCGAAACUUAACCAUCGCUAAUUAUGAGCACGAAAGGACUUUAAUGUGCGUAUGAUAAGGAGAAAAUAUCUUGGUUUAAUUCUUCGUUAAAAUCAUCGCAAAAUCUCUUUCGCU